CAGUUAUAGAAAAGAAGAGGUUAGUAUUCCCCUUGAUAAAGAUGGAAGAUCUCCUAGUGGCUUGGAAUACAUGCACAUGAUUAAGGCACUGCCACGUAAUUUGUGGUCUUUAAUCAGUUUGG
ensembl:snRNA U6atac minor spliceosomal RNA